rnacentral:rRNA from 1 species
CUCCCUACGGGACGCAGCAGUCGGGAAUAUUGCGCAAUGGAGGAAACUCUGACGCAGUGACGCCGCGUAUAGGAAGAAGGUUUUCGGAUUGUAAACUAUUGUCGAUAGGGAAGAAAAAAGACUGUACCUAUCAAGAAAGCUCCGGCUAACUACGUGCCAGCAGCCGCGGUAAUACGUAUGGUGCAAGCGUUAUCCGGAUUUACUGGGUGUAAAGGGAGCGCAGGCGGUGCGGCAAGUCUGAUGUGAAAGCCCGGGGCUCAACCCCGGGACUGCAUUGGAAACUACCGAACUAGAGUGUCGGAGAG